rnacentral:rRNA from 1 species
AUUGAACGCUGGCGGCAGGCCUAACACAUGCAAGUCGAACGAGUGGCGGACGGGUGAGUAAUGUCUGGGAAACUGCCUGAUGGAGGGGGAUAACUACUGGAAACGGUAGCUAAUACCGCAUACCAUCGGAUGUGCCCAGAUGGGAUUAGCUAGUAGGGGGGGUAAAGGCUCACCUAGGCGACAAUCCCUAGCUGGUCUGAGAGGAUGACCCGCCACACUGGAAAGUAGACACGGUUCAGACUCCUACGGGAGGGAGCAGUGGGGAAUAUUGGAAAAUUGGGGCAAGCCUGAUGCAGCCAUGCCGCGUGGAUGAAGAAGGCCUUCGGGGUUGAAAGUACUUUCAGCGGGGAGGCGUUACCCGCAGAAGAAGCACCGGCUAACUCCGUGCCAGCCGCCGCGGUAAUUC